UUCACCAGUAAACCGCGCGCGAAACCCGCUCAAUCAAAGCUAAGAUGCGCUCCCACCAAAGCUCUGAAGCUAAAGUGCGCUUUUUCUUGAUAUAUACUCUGUAUAUUUUUUAAUCCAGUGUCUGUUUCUUUGGGUUGCUUCCUUUCUACUAGUUUGUGUUUUCAAGUCACUGGCUUGUCAUGUCUCUGUUGAGUGUCUAGAAAUAUUUUUAGGUGAAGAGAAAAGAGAGAGAAAGAG
rnacentral:misc_RNA from 1 species